UUGAAAGAAACCGCCAUGACUCAGGAGAAGCAGCGAUGGCGGACACCCAGUGGCAACGGUGGUUUUCUACAAAUUGAGGACAAGCUCCUCCAUAUCCACAACUUCCACUCACUUGAAGACGUGUAUGUGCCAAGCUCCCUGUUGGGCUUUGUGGCUACAAAGAGGAAAACAACACCAGCCCUGCCUUCUGGGAUCUCCAAGUCCAAGAAGAGAGUCAGCCCAGCUGAAUAGAAAUGGACACAUAACCAGAGCUGAGAGGUCCUGGGUAGCAAGCUGACCAAGCUUUUGGAGGUUGGGUGGGUCUUUUGGAGCAAAGGUAUCAUGAAUGGUAUCAUAAUAGCAACUGACAGUACGUUAACAUCUCAAGACUUUUUAGUUGGGAUAAAUGGAAUCAAUAGAGAGAAGUUCUCCACAGGCCAAAGAAUACUGUUGAAAUUAUUUAUGAAAACAUUUUCUCCUUUUGCAAGAAAAAUCAUUUAUGAGGAAGCAUACCUAAGUUUUCACAUGUAUAGAAUAUGGAAAGGAUGACCAAUCACUUGCCGAUCUGUUCUAUCUCGCUCAUGAGUUCUACCAUCGGCAGCAAUAAUUACGGACUUUAGAACAUAAUCAAUAUAAAAUACCAUUGGUUACACUAUAUUUAUAAUUGUUUCAUUUUUGCUUGGUGAUAUGGAAUAAAAC
rnacentral:lncRNA from 1 species